ensembl:lncRNA
GGCCGCCUCUGCUCUGCAGGGCUGCGGGCCUCUCACAGUGACCUGUUGCCUUGCCGGCUGAACACAGGCCCCAGGACCAGGAGGGCUUGGGACCACCUCCAGACCACCCUGCCUGCCUCCGGACACAGGGUUCCGCUGAUGUCACACCCCAGCUCCCCUCAACGUGGGGGGGUGUCCCGCAGCACCUCGCUGUGCACCCCACCAGCCCGGCCCACACCCAGCCUGCAGGCUGGCCCUGGCUGGCUGCCCUCCGGCAAGACAAGACUGUCUGCCCGGCUUGGGGGACGUCUGGUCACCUUGUGUUUGCGGUUCGAGGAAGCUGUGUCAUCCUGGCUCCAUCCGGAGCCAUCUCAUGCUGCCCAGGGCUCCAGUCAGCCUCAACCUCCACGUGUAGCCAGGAUGCUCCCUGGAAAACCCGACAGGCCCGAGACACACGCGUCUCCCGCAGCUGCCCUCCCGUGUCUCCAGCUCAGACGACCCACCAUGGCAUUCACGCAGACAUCGCCCCCCAGGCCUCACCUCUCCCUCCACGGCCGCUCGCUGACCCCAGCCUGCUGGCCUCAACCGAGUCUUCCUGCAGAUGCUCUGGCCCCCCGCUUCUCAUCAGGACUCCUGCCUCAGUCCCUCAAAUGCAGCCCCCCAGGUCGCCUGUGACUGUAAACAAACUCCGCAGAGUGAAAGCGUGCACGGCGGACAAAGAACAGACCGGAACCCGACCUCACGCAGUGGCAGCCUGGGCGCUGGAGAAAGGGCUGGAACACAGCAAGCCCCGCACUCAGGAAGAGUGACUCCCCCAGUAGCCUCGACUCAACUCCCAUUUUUAGCAACCACCUUGAAAGUAAGCGACGCUGAACUUGGACCCGGGCCCUUAAAGUCCAGCGACCUUCAAGCACAAAAGGAAAUGCGCUCCGGGGAGAAGCCUCGCUUUGUGUUUUUGAGUUAAUAAACAUUUUAUUUUGGAAUAAAGAGAGGUCUAGUUGUAAGUUAUGAAAGCAGACGCCCUCUCCCGAGCUCAAACUCGGACAUUCCUACUGGGUCACCACCGAGGAAGGGCCAUGCUCAGGAAGCCUGUCAGCUACCCACAAUGCAACAGGUUGCAGGUGUGCCCCACCCACCUGCACAGCCCACCUGCAACUUCCCAGACCUCUCCCACCUGCUUAGACUAACAUUUUUUUUAAACAGCGCCAUUCCCCCACCAAAGACACCAGGCUCAGAGCCCAGGCCCCAGAGCUGGCACACAGGACACACAGCUGCACUUUCUCAAGAUACCUGCUCCGUGAUCGCCGUGACAGCAAACCUCACCAACGCCAGUAAACGGGUCAGGGGAGAGCGGGUGGGCACCCAAGCCACACUCGUGGGAGCCCAGUGAUUCUGUGUCGGGUUCCCGAGGCCAGGCACCCGGCAAGAGGAGGUGGCUGAGGGUUGGUCAACUGCUGAAUGAACUGUUAGGUGGGACAUCCCAUUUCUGCCUCAGCUACAACAGCUGUGUGAAAGGUCAAAGGAACGUAAUCAUUAACACAAGACAGAGCAGGGAACUUCCAGCAAGCCCGAACACGGGCCCCUCCAGCAUGUGUUCUGCGUUGCCCAGAAGACCCCACAAACUACCACGACAGACAGAUGGCAAGGCGGUCUGCCUUUCCUGGGGCAGACCUAGGCACCCAGCCAAAUACCCGCGUCCCCUCCGAGGUCCCGGGGAAGGCGCGUGGAAGAGGCAGAGACAUUAUC